GACGAACGCUGGCGGCGUGCUUAACACAUGCAAGUCGAACGGAAAGGCCCUGCUUUUGUGGGGUGCUCGAGUGGCGAACGGGUGAGUAACACGUGAGUAACCUGCCCUUGACUUUGGGAUAACUUCAGGAAACUGGGGCUAAUACCGGAUAGGAGCUCCUGCUGCAUGGUGGGGGUUGGAAAGUUUCGGCGGUUGGGGAUGGACUCGCGGCUUAUCAGCUUGUUGGUGGGGUAGUGGCUUACCAAGGCUUUGACGGGUAGCCGGCCUGAGAGGGUGACCGGCCACAUUGGGACUGAGAUACGGCCCAGACUCCUACGGGAGGCAGCAGUGGGGAAUAUUGCACAAUGGGCGGAAGCCUGAUGCAGCAACGCCGCGUGCGGGAUGACGGCCUUCGGGUUGUAAACCGCUUUCGCCUGUGACGAAGCGUGAGUGACGGUAAUGGGUAAAGAAGCACCGGCUAACUACGUGCCAGCAGCCGCGGUGAUACGUAGGGUGCGAGCGUUGUCCGGAUUUAUUGGGCGUAAAGGGCUCGUAGGUGGUUGAUCGCGUCGGAAGUGUAAUCUUGGGGCUUAACCCUGAGCGUGCUUUCGAUACGGGUUGACUUGAGGAAGGUAGGGGAGAAUGGAAUUCCUGGUGGAGCGGUGGAAUGCGCAGAUAUCAGGAGGAACACCAGUGGCGAAGGCGGUUCUCUGGGCCUUUCCUGACGCUGAGGAGCGAAAGCGUGGGGAGCGAACAGGCUUAGAUACACUGGUAGUCCACGCUGUAAACGGUGGGUACUAGGUGUGGGGUCCAUUCCACGGGUUCCGUGCCGUAGCUAACGCUUUAAGUACCCCGCCUGGGGAGUACGGCCGUAAGGCUAAAACUCAAAGGAAUUGACGGGGCCCCGCACAAGCGGCGGAGCAUGCGGAUUAAUUCGAUGCAACGCGUAGAACCUUACCUGGGUUUGACAUGGAUCGGGAGUGCUCAGAGAUGGGUGUGCCUCUUUUGGGGUCGGUUCACAGGUGGUGCAUGGCUGUCGUCAGCUCGUGUCGUGAGAUGUUGGGUUAAGUCCCGCAACGAGCGCAACCCUUGUUCACUGUUGCCAGCACGUUAUGGUGGGGACUCAGUGGAGACCGCCGGGGUCAACUCGGAGGAAGGUGGGGAUGACGUCAAGUCAUCAUGCCCCUUAUGUCCAGGGCUUCACGCAUGCUACAAUGGCUGGUACAGAGAGUGGCGAGCCUGUGAGGGUGAGCGAAUCUCGGAAAGCCGGUCUCAGUUCGGAUUGGGGUCUGCAACUCGACCUCAUGAAGUCGGAGUCGCUAGUAAUCGCAGAUCAGCAACGCUGCGGUGAAUACGUUCCCGGGGCU
rnacentral:rRNA from 1 species